CCUACGGGAGGCAGCAGUGGGGAAUAUUGGGCAAUGGGCGCAAGCCUGACCCAGCAACGCCGCGUGAAGGAAGAAGGCUUUCGGGUUGUAAACUUCUUUUGUCAGGGAAGAGUAGAAGACGGUACCUGACGAAUAAGCCACGGCUAACUACGUGCCAGCAGCCGCGGUAAUACGUAGGUGGCAAGCGGUGUCCGGAUUUACUGGGUGUAAAGGGCGUGUAGCCGGGUUGACAAGUCAGAUGUGAAAUCCUGCGGCUUAACCGCAGAACUGCCUUUGAAACUGUUGAUCUUGAGUACUGGAGAGGCACGCGGAAUUCCUGGUGUAGCGGUGAAAUGCAUAGAUAUUACGAAGAACCCCAAUGGCGAAGGCAGGGUGCUGGCGAGCAACUGACGGUGAGGCGCGAAAGCGUGGGGAGCGAACAGGAUUAGAUACCCUAGUAGUC
rnacentral:rRNA from 1 species